CCCCUUUCUUGUACUCCAUUUCAUCGAUUUUCCUUCCUUCUGAUGUUGUUUUCUUUAUAUGUUGCUCCAAUUGCUUUAGAUUUCGCCUGAAAAUUUGACAUCUUUGCUUUAGUUUUUCUGUCAGUUGAGCUCAUUUUUGUAAGCCUUGAAUUUGAGGAUAAAAGGUUGGUUAUUUUAACUGUGGAGGCGGAAACUGAAGAAUUCAUACAAAUGGCAGAUAGGUAUAGGUUGGUUUCGAUUGAGGAAUUGCCAUCACAUUUGAUUUUGGAGAUAAUGACAGCAGGCAGGCUUAGUGCCAUUGAUCUUGUUUGUUUAGAGUUGACUUCUAAGACCUUUGGAGGGAGCCAUGGGUUAUACCCUCACAAAUUCAAGUCAAUGGUAGAUUAUGCAGCAUUUCAGCUGUGCGUGUCACAUGGCGUUUAUAAUGGGAUGGCAUGGAAUGCCCAGAAAGAAUUGUUUGAUAGGUGU
rnacentral:misc_RNA from 1 species